ACACUCCUGCGGGAGGCAGCAGUGAGGAAUAUUGGACAAUGGGUGGAAGCCUGAUCCAGCCAUCCCGCGUGCAGGAAGACGGCCCUAUGGGUUGUAAACUGCUUUUAUCUGGGGAUAAACCUACUUACGUGUAAGUAGCUGAAGGUACCAGAAGAAUAAGCACCGGCUAACUCCGUGCCAGCAGCCGCGGUAAUACGGAGGGUGCAAGCGUUAUCCGGAUUUAUUGGGUUUAAAGGGUCCGUAGGCGGACUGAUGAGUCAGUGGUGAAAUCCGACAGCUUAACUGUCGAACUGCCAUUGAUACUGUUAGUCUUGAGUAAGGUUGAAGUGGCUGGAAUAAGUAGUGUAGCGGUGAAAUGCAUAGAUAUUACUUAGAACACCAAUUGCGAAGGCAGGUCACUAAGUCUUAACUGACGCUGAUGGACGAAAGCGUGGGGAGCGAACAGGAUUAGAAACCCGAGUAGUCCCAUGAU
rnacentral:rRNA from 1 species